rnacentral:rRNA from 1 species
AUUAAUCCAUAUAUUGUUAAGUAUAAAUAGUUAACUUUGAAAAAUUACAUUUUUCAUUAUUUCAGAUUUAGUUGUUUAUAUGUAGGAUAAGUAUUGGUUUAGUGUAUUCAUUAUAGAUCUAAGACAUGGAUACAGUGUGGUAGCUUUCAUUUAAUAUAAUGACAACCAUAUAUUUCGGGGGACUCAUGAGUAAUAAUAACUACUCAUAUCGUAUUGUUAUGGAAAGAUCAUUCUAAUUUUUCUCCCCCCUCUCAUCUUUGGAGGGUAGUGUACUGCCCCCACGGGGCAGGGGGGUGGAGAAAUGAGUGUGGGUUCCUUUGGAGGGAGAGAGCGAGAGAGAUCCCCCACACACGAAAGAAACAGCGCGGGCAAGUAAUCCACCCUAUCCCCGGGGGGAUGGGGAGACACAAUAACACACUAGGCCCCUUUGGGUUUUGCAAUUGGAAUGAGAACAAUGUACAACCCUUAUCGAUAAACCAUUGGAGGGCAAGUCUGGUGCCAGCAGCCGCGGUAAUCCAGUCC